GACGAACGCUGGCGGCGUGCUUAACACAUGCAAGUCGAACGAAGUGGCGCACGGGUGAGUAACGCGUAAUCAACCUGCCCUUCAGAGGGGGACAACAGUUGGAAACGACUGCUAAUACCGCAUACUGAAGGAGGGGAUUGCGUUGGAUUAGCUAGUUGGAGGGGUAACGGCCCACCAAGGCGAUGAUAAGUAGCCGGUGUGAGAGGGGGAACGGCCACAUUGGGACUGAGACACGGCCCAGACUCCGAAGGGAGGCAGCAGUGGGGAAUCUGCAGCAAGGGACGAAAGGCUGACGGAGCAACGCCGCGUGGGUGAAGAAGGUCUUCGGGUUGGAAAGCUCUGUUGAUCGGGAGGCGGUACCGGAAUAGAAAGGGACGGCUAACUACGUGCCAGCAGCCGCGGUAAUGC
rnacentral:rRNA from 1 species